AGCCAAAAACAAAAAAUCAUGCCACGCAUCCUUCUGCUCGCAGAAAAGGUUGCAUGGCAUGAUUUUUUGUCGUGGGCGACUGCCCACGACCCCUCGGAACUGAGUAGCAGUUCUAAUGGGUGUUUGGCUGUCCCUUCCGGACCGCACAGCAGUUCUAAGAAGUGUUUGGCA
rnacentral:misc_RNA from 1 species